rnacentral:misc_RNA from 1 species
CCCUAUGUCGCUCCGAUUCGUCCCUCCCCCCCACGCCCAACGCACACACUCCCCCCUCUCCCCUUUUCCCCGCCUCGGCCCUGAGGUUUGAAACCACCCCCGCCACGCGCCGACUAUGUCCCCCCGACCCUUCGAUGCCUCUGCUCGUCGGGAUCCCCCCCACCCCCGUGCGCCCAUGUCAUGUCGUCUUUUCCCCUAACUUGGCAAAGGCAUGGAAACUUGGAAGCUUGACCAAAGACACGUGACGCGUGCCACCGCCCGUGCCAUGACGCAUGCCAUGGGGCCUUUCAUGGUGCCCGCCCGUGAGCCAAGCCAAGACACGCGAUGCGUGCCACGGUGCCUUGCUUGGUGCCCGCGAGCCAAGCCAAGGUGGCACGAGGCCUUGCAUGUUGCCCACCCGGGAGCCAAGCCAAGGUGCCACGGGGCCUUGCUUGGUGCCCGUGAGCCAAGCCAAGGUGGCACGAGGCCUUACAUGGUGCCCGCCCGCGAGCCAAGCCAAGGUGCCACGGGGCCUUGCAUGGUGCCCUCCCGCGAGCCAAGCCAAGACACGCAACGCGUGUCACGGGGCCUUGCUUGGUGCCCGCGAGCCAAGCUUAGGUGGCACGGGGCCUUGCUUGGUGCCCGCGAGCCAAGCCAAUGUGGCACGGGGCCUUGCUUGGUGCCCACGAGCCAAGCCAAGGUGGCACGAGGCCUUGCAUGGUGCCCUCCAGCGAGCCAAGCCAAGGUGCCACGGGGCCUUGCUUGGUGCCCGUGAGCCAAGCCAAGGUGCCACGGGGCCUUGCUUGGUGCCCGCGAGCCAAGCCAAGGUGGCACGAGGCCUUGCAUGGUGCCCGCCCGCGAGCCAAGCCAAGGUGGCACGGGGCCUUGCUUGGUGCCCACGAGCCAAGCCAAGGUGGCACGAGGCCUUGCAUGGUGCCCGCCAGCGAGCCAAGCUAAGGUGCCACGGGGCCUUGCUUGGUGCCCAUGAGCCAAGCCAAGGUGGCACGGGGCCUUGCUUGGUGCCCGCGAGCCAAGCCAAGGUGGCACGGGGCCUUGCAUGGUGCCCGCCCGCAAGCCAAGCCAAGGUGCCACGGGGCCUUGCUUGGUGCCCGCGAGCCAAGCCAAGGUGGCACGAGGCCUUGCAUGGUGCCCGCCCGCGAGCCAAGCCAAGGUGCCACGGGGCCUUGCUUGGUGCCCGCGAGCCAAGMCAAGGUGSCACGARGCCUUGCAUGGUGCCYGCCMGCGAGCCAAGCCAAGGUGCCACGGGGCCUUGCUUGGUGCCCGCCNCNGNCNGAGCCAAGCCAAGGUGGCACGAGGCCUUGCAUGGUGCCUGCCUGCGAGCCAAGCCAAGGUGCCACGGGGCCUUGCUUGGUGCCCGCCCGCGAGCCAAGCCAAGGUGGCACGGGGCCUUGCAUGGUGCCCUCCCGCGAGCCAAGCCAAGGUGCCACGGGGCCUUGCUUGGCGCCCGCGAGCCAAGCCAAGGUGGCACGGGGCCUUGCAUGGUGCCCGCCCGCGAGCCAAGCCAAGGUGCCACGAGGCCUUGCUUGGUGCCCGCGAGCCAAGCCAAGGUGGCACGGGGCCUUGCCUUGUGCUCGCCCGUGAGCCAAGCCAAGACACGCGACGCGUGCCACGGGCCCUUGCUUGGUGCCCGCUCGUGAGCCAAGCCAAGACACGAACACGUGGCACGGGGCCUUGCCUUGGUGCCCGUGAGGCGAGCCAAGACACGCGACGCGUGCCAUGUGGCCUUGCUUGGUGCCCACGAGCCGAGCCAAGACACAUGACGCGUGCCACCUCCCGUGCCACAACAGCUACAAGGACCCUCGAUAUGGUGCUAGAGGCUGUGCUAGGACACGUGACCCAUGCCAUGAUGCGUGCCACGGCUCGAGUCACGACACGUCUCGCGUGCCACGACCCCCAUGCCAUGGUGCCAGGACACCUGUAAUGACCCAUUCCAUGGUGGUAGAGGCCGUGCCAAGACACAUGGUGCGUGCCCUAUCUGGAUUUCGACCCUGAUGCCUUGACAAGGUUCCGGAUUAUGGUCUAUUGCUAAUCACGGAAUGUUAUUAAUCCAUGGAUUCAUGUUGCAAAGGUUGUUCGCUAUUUUUUUAUAUGAUUUUUUUAAGUAAAAAAAUUUUAAAAUAAAUUUUGUUUGGACAAUCCUUGGAUUCUUUUUUAAGAUUUCUUUUUCCCAUAUCAAAUACAAUUUUUAAAAAUAUUUAAAUUAAUUUUUACUUAUUUUCCCCCCAUUUUUCUAAGUAAAAAAGCUAAAAAAAAAUAUUUUUUGGCCAAGAGAGCUUCACCAAUCCUUGAAUUCGUCUUCCAUAUAUUUUUCCCAUGUGAAAUACAUUUUUUAAAAAUAUUUACACUAUUUUUUCCUCAUUUUUACUAUUUUCUAAGUAAAAAAUUCGGAAAAAAAAAUUAUUUUUCAGAGAUAAGUUGCAUUAAUUCAUGGAUUCCUAUUCCAGAUAUUUUUCCCAUGUGAAAUACAAUUUUUAAAAAUAUUUUAACUAUUUUUUGGUAUUUUUUACUAUUUUUCCCUAUUUUUCCCUAUUUUUUGGACAAAAAAAUUAAAAUAAAUAUUUUCUGGGCCGAAAUUUUUUUUUAUUUUUUUCCUUGGGUUCAUAUAAUUAUUAUAAAGAGAUUCAGCAGAAAAAACGGAAUUAAAAACUCUUUUUUCAUUAAAAAAUGGCAUUAUGUCUCCUCAAGCAUGGGUGAUGUCUCCUCAAGGCAUUUCCAAAAUGGCCCAAAAUGCUCUUUAAGGGGGGGGUGCUGUCCUCAAUGGGCUGGCAGCACCACCCGCCCAGGCACGCUGCAGCGCGUGCCGCCCUUGGCGUGCAGGCCGCCCAUGCCACCCUAGGCAUGGCGCCCCCGCAUAUGCCACCCUCAAGCCCACGACACGCUAAUGCGAAGAGAGCACGCCCUCGACACCGUGGGGAGCCCUCGCACGCAACAGCAGUCRCCCCGUGCCCCGUACACGCUGCACCCCGGACGCGUCCCAUGCCCCCCAUGCGGACACGCCCUCCCCCCCNAUGCAACGAGUGCCCUCCCCGCGCACUCGGYCCCGUCCCUCCCCGUCUCGGCUCGACCCCUCGAGCGAGCAUGUUGCCUCGGAUAAACGUGCCAAUGGCCAACGUCGCGGCUCACCCCGGGGGGCUCACCCAUGCCUCCCGCCCGACGCUGCCCAUCAAAAGGCACACGGACGCCCCUCCCCCCAUGCAACGAGUGCCCUCCCCGGGUGUGCUCSGCCCCCCCGUCUCGUNCNUNCNGNGCUCGUCGAGGAGCCCUCAAGCCCUCGAGCGAGCAUGUUGCCUCGGAAAAACGUGCUAGUGUGGCCAACGUCGUGGCUCACCCCGGGGGCUCACCCAUGCCCCCCGCCCGACGUUGCCCAUCGAAAGGCACACGGAUGCCCCUCCCCCCCAUGCAACGAGUGCCCUCCCCGGGCACUCGGCCCCGUCCCGGCUCGUCGAGGAGCCCUCAAGCCCUCGAGMGAGCAUGUUGCCUCGGAAAGGAGCCAGAUGCAUCGUCGCCAUGCCUAUAUCGGUCCUACGAAGGCUUCACUCGUUGCUCCCGUGUGCUGGUCAGGAGUCGCCUCCGGACGAGUCGCGGUUCGAUGCGUGAUGCCGUGUCGUAGUGAACCUGAUGGCGUGUGAGUGGUGUUUGGGUCGCGUGGGUCGGCAGGCUCCUUGCUCGUGCAACGAACUGUCGCCGCACCCCCCUCUUCAUUCUAAGCCUCAAGCGCUGCAACAAGCCUUGGGCGUCGCGAUGCCGUGGUUCCUGUGUUGCCUUCCUAACGGAUGGAAUUGUCCCUCGAACGUUGCCUUUCUCCGCCCGGCUCCCGCUCACGCGGUGCGGGCGGACCUCGAAAGCGGUCGCCGCGUCCCAUGGUCGCCCCACGCAUGCGCACGCAUGAGAGGGGUCGAGCAUGGCCCGYGACGGCCGCUCGUGCUCUCGGAUGCGGAACCUUAAAACGAGCGUGGGGUCUCUCGGGAUCCCGUACUCGCUCGAGCUAAGCGUUCGUCGCUAGACGCGUACGACGGCCGUCCCCGUCUUUGCCCUCCCGUCCCGCUCCCCUCGGGGGGCGUCGGUCAGGCGCAUGCGGUGCCGGCGUCGCACAGGAAUGC